GAGUGACAGGGGGGUUCGCCGCGUCACCCGCGAACGUUUCGUUUCUCUUUUCUUAAAAUUAAUUCCGUUGUCAUCUUUAAAACGACACCAUAGUUCCCACUUCCCAGUUUCAGCUCCUGCGGUUUUCCUCAUUGAAGCUCCUCCUUCAAUCGCCAUUAGAGACGAAAGAAACCUCCAUCCUCCGAUGGCUGUAGUUUUUUCUUUCGUUGAAAGCUUCUCCUCCGCUCGCCAUUAGAGACGAAAGGAACGUCCUCCCUUCGAUAGCUGUAUCUUUACCAUUUUCGAUCUUAUUGAGCAGGGAGGUGAAUUUCAGGAAUUCAGGGACAAAAAAGAACCUGAGAGGGUUUGAACACCUGACCUCGUGAGAGACACUCCACAGCCCGCACUACUACCUGAAUCACACAGGGUGAUUUCAUUGUUUUUCUUUUUCCUUUGUUUUCUUUUAUAUUAUAGACAUAUGUUGUUUGAAUGUUUUAUCGACCAGAAUAGUUCCCUGGAAUGAGAAUUGUUUUUCCCUCUUGCAUUCAUGAUGUUUCGUUAAAUUGACGAAUUUAUUUAUUUAUUGAUCUUAUC